UAAUUUCGAUCGGUUGCCAAGAAAAAAAUGUACUUGAAAUUAGGCUCCACACAUCCAACACCAAGAGGUUCAUCCUAGUACAGCGGUGUAAAAUGGUUCAUCCAGAAUCUUCUCGAGUGUUAUAUCUUCAAGGGCUAACGGAGUAGUUUCUAGCAUGUCAAGGUCGGCCUGAUUUGCAAAUGUGAAGACUCCAGAUGCCUAGAACAGUAAUCACAUUAUCAAUAACAGUAAAGUGAAUACAACAAAAAAGUAUUAGAAGUUCGCUAACGUUCAUUUGGACAGAGCAGCACAUAAUAGCAUCUGUAUGGUGCCAAAGUUGUUUUAGAACAACAUCGCCGGUUUGUGAAUCAACCUGAAAGAGUUCUCUUCCAAGGUGCAUUCUGAAGUAUGAGAAAUAUGAUUAGGUCAUAAUUUUUUCAAUGAAAGAAAAAAAAAACUUCUCAAUUCUCUUUUUGA
rnacentral:lncRNA from 1 species